AAAAAAAUGUCUGAUUGCGGGCAACUUGUGUAGAGCAUUCGUAGCAAUUAAGCUUGUGGGAGGCUUACAGUCUAUUAAUUUAGUCUAGUUUUAGGAAGAAAGCAAGUGCCCUAUUAAUUAAUCAUUGUAAAGACAAAACCAAAAUCAAAAUCAAAAGGCAAAUUUGCAUCUUUUAUAAACCCUAAUUUAUUAUUAAAAAAAAAAAAAAGAAGGAAACAAGCAGCCAAAAAGUACAUGUCCCCACAUAAACAAGCUGGCUCGGACACAACUCCUCUUGUGGGCCCUCCCUCAUUAACCGACAGCCUAAAAAACAAAUAACCUUUUCUCUCUCUCUCCACAGCCUUCUAACAUAACACCUCCCACCUGAAGCUCUUGACAAUUUCCGACAAUACCCUCCGCCCGACAGUGAAUUCUCAACGUUCUUUCAAGAGCAUUUCUCUACUUUUUUUAUUUGCUUCGGAGCAAUGGGUAUGCCGAGCAGCGACGACGUUGUUUUGAUUGAACCAGCCAAAAACUCCGGCGAUCCCACCGUUGUUACCGUUAAUUGCCCUGAUCAGGCUGGUCUCGGCUGUGACCUUUGCCGUAUUAUCCUUGAGUUUGGGCUUUCCAUUUCUCGUGCGGAUUUUUCAACAGAUGGAAGAUGGUGUUACAUAGUAUUUUGGGUGGUUCCACACUCUACUUCACAUAAAGUUAAUUGGGAUAGCUUAAAAAACAGGCUUUCUUGUGCUUCACCUCCUUGUUUGGGUCCAUUCUAUUUCGAUCAGAAGUCUAAUGUUACUUCCGUGCCUUCAUUGUAUCUCUUGAAGUUUUGUUUUGUUGACAGGAAAGGACUACUGCAUGAUGUUGCCAAAAUACUUACUGAGCUUGAAUUUACAAUUCAAAGAGUGAAAGUUAUGACAACUCCGGAUGGGAAAGUUGUUGACCUCUUCUUCAUUACGGAUGGAUUGGAUCUUUUACACACAGAAAAAAGGCGAAGUGACACGUGCAGGCAUCUGGCUUCUGUUUUCAAAGAAUGUUGUAUCAGCUGUGAACUUCAACUGGCAGGACCUGAAUAUGAAAGUCUCCAGGCUUUCUCUUCCCUCCCUCUGCCAAUUGCAGAGGAAUUAUUUAGUUGUGAGCAAUUAGAAGAGAAAACCUGUUCGCAGGCCCUCUGCACGGAUACAAUAGCAGAUAAGGCCACUGUUACAGUAGAUAAUAAUAUGAGUCCGGCUCAUACAUUACUUCAAUUAAAAUGUAUUGAUCAGAAAGGCCUGUUUUAUGACAUAUUGAGGACGUCAAAGGACUGCAAUAUCCGGGUUGCUUAUGGUAGAUUCUCGUCAAGUUUAAAAGGGUACCGGAAUAUGGACCUAUUUAUUCAACAAACUGAUGGGAAGAAGAUAAUGGAUCCUAAGCAUCAGCUUAUGUUGUGUUCUCGUUUAAAGGCAGAGAUGCUUCGUCCAUUUCGAGUUAUUAUUGCCAACCGAGGACCAGAUACGGAACUCUUGGUUGCUAACCCUGUUGAGUUGUCUGGGAAGGGACGACCUCGUGUUUUCUAUGAUGUCACUUUGGCUCUAAAAACAUUAGGAAUAUGCAUUUUCUCGGCUGAAAUCGCGAGACACUCGACUCAGGAUCAACAGUGGGAAGUAUACAGAUUUCUCUUGAACGAAAAUUGUGAAGUUCCAUUAGCAAGUGCUCAAGCCAGAAAGCAAAUAGUGGAUAGAGUUAAAAAGACACUAAUGGGCUGGUAGAUGAUCUACGUGCUGGAGAGGGACAAAGUUUGGCCGAUCCUUGCAAUUUCUCUCAAGCUGUAUACCUCUGCACUUCAAGGGGUUCCCUGUUUGCACAUCUCUGGACGAACAGCGAAUUACUGUUCAGUCAGAUGAUCUAUGUUGCAUUGUCAGGCUUGUCACUGUGUACUAUCCAGUCCGGUGGCAACGCAUCUAGGCUCCAACCAUGUAAUUGCAAUUUGAUCAUAGAAUCAUCUCACUAUCAGUAUCGAUGGAUACUUUGUGGGAACCAGUUUCAAUUGGAAGGAAAAUAUCUCAGGACUUGGAAAUAUAAUCGACAAAGUUAAAAAUCAAUGGCCAAACCCAUUGUUAAGUUCA